rnacentral:rRNA from 1 species
GCACAUACUGUGAGCUCGAUGAGUAGGGCGGGACACGUGGUAUCCUGUCUGAAUAUGGGGGGACCAUCCUCCAAGGCUAAAUACUCCUGACUGACCGAUAGUGAACCAGUACCGUGAGGGAAAGGCGAAAAGAACCCCGGCGAGGGGAGUGAAAAAGAACCUGAAACCGUGUACGUACAAGCAGUGGGAGCACAGAGCAAUCUGUGUGACUGCGUACCUUUUGUAUAAUGGGUCAGCGACUUAUAUUCUGUAGCAAGGUUAACCGAAUAGGGGAGCCGAAGGGAAACCGAGUCUUAACUGGGCGUUAAGUUGCAGGGUAUAGACCCGAAACCCGGUGAUCUAGCCAUGGGCAGGUUGAAGGUUGGGUAACACUAACUGGAGGACCGAACCGACUAAUGUUGAAAAAUUAGCGGAUGACUUGUGGCUGGGGGUGAAAGGCCAAUCAAACCGGGAGAUAGCUGGUUCUCCCCGAAAGCUAUUUAGGUAGCGCCUCGUGAAUUCAUCUCCGGGGGUAGAGCACUGUUUCGGCAAGGGGGUCAUCCCGACUUACCAACCCGAUGCAAACUGCGAAUACCGGAGAAUGUUAUCACGGGAGACACACGGCGGGUGCUAACGUCCGUCGUGAAGAGGGAAACAACCCAGACCGCCAGCUAAGGUCCCAAAGUCAUGGUUAAGUGGGAAACGAUGUGGGAAGGCCCAGACAGCCAGGAUGUUGGCUUAGAAGCAGCCAUCAUUUAAAGAAAGCGUAAUAGCUCACUGGUCGAGUCGGCCUGCGCGGAAGAUGUAACGGGGCUAAACCAUGCAC